rnacentral:rRNA from 1 species
AGAGUUUGAUUAUGGCUCAGGAUGAACGCUAGCUACAGGCUUAACACAUGCAAGUCGAGGGGCAGCAUGGUCUUAGCUUGCUAAGGCUGAUGGCGACCGGCGCACGGGUGAGUAACGCGUAUCCAACCUUCCCCAUAGUAGGGGAUAGCCCGGCGAAAGUCGGAUUAAUACCCUAUGUUAUUCGAUGCAGACAUCUAAGUUGAAUCAAAGGUUUACCGCUAUGGGAUGGGGAUGCGUCUGAUUAGGUUGCAGGCGGGGUAACGGCCCACCUGGCCUACGAUCAGUAGGGGUUCUGAGAGGAAGGUCCCCCACAUUGGAACUGAGACACGGUCCAAACUCCUACGGGAGGCAGCAGUGAGGAAUAUUGGUCAAUGGGCGAGAGCCUGAACCAGCCAAGUAGCCGUGCAGGAUGACGGCCCUAUGGGUUGUAAACUGCUUUUAUGCGGGGAUAAAGUGAGGGACGUGUCCCUUUUUGUAGGUACCGCAUGAAUAAGGACCGGCUAAUUCCGUGCCAGCCGCCGC